AGUGAACGCUGGCGGCAGGCCUAACACAUGCAAGUCGAACGGCAGCACAAGAGAGCUUGCUCUCUGGGUGGCGAGUGGCGGACGGGUGAGGAAUACGUCGGAAUCUGCCUAUUUGUGGGGGAUAACGUAGGGAAACUUACGCUAAUACCGCAUACGACCUACGGGUGAAAGCGGAGGACCUUCGGGCUUCGCGCAGAUAGAUGAGCCGACGUCGGAUUAGCUAGUUGGCGGGGUAAAGGCCCACCAAGGCGACGAUCCGUAGCUGGUCUGAGAGGAUGAUCAGCCAAACUGGAACUGGGACACGGUCCAGACUCCUACGGGAGACAGCAGUGGGGAAUAUUGGACAAUGGGCGCAAGCCUGAUCCAGCCAUGCCGCGUGGGUGAAGAAGGCCUUCGGGUUGUAAAGCCCUUUUGUUGGGAAAGAAAAGCAGCCGGUUAAUACCCGGUUGUCAUGACGGUACCCAAAGAAUAAGCACCGGCUAACUUCGUGCCAGCCGCCGCAGUAAUAC
rnacentral:rRNA from 1 species